rnacentral:rRNA from 1 species
CGUACAAAGGUAGCAUAAUCAAUAGUUUUUUAAUUGAAAGCUGGAAUGAAGGAUUUGAUGAAAUAAAUUUUGUCUCAAAUUUAAUGAAAUUAGAAUUUUUAUUUUAAUAAAAAUAUUAAAAUGAAUUUAAAAGACGAGAAGACCCUAUAGAUUUUAAUAAUUUUUGAUAAAAAUUUUUUUUUUAAAAAAUUAUUUAGUUGGGGAAAUUAUUAAAUUUAAUUAAUUUUAAUAAAUAAUAAACAAUAAUUUUUGAUUAUUUGAUCCUAUCAUUUUAGAUUAAUAGAAUAAAAUACCUUAGGGAUAACAGCGUAAUUUUUUUAGAAAGAUCAUAUUAAUAAAAAAGUUUGC